rnacentral:lncRNA from 1 species
GGAACCCGGGCGUCAGGGCUGCCAGCGCGUUCCCAGAACCCUGGCGUCCACCCCCACCCUGUCCUGUCACCACCGCCUGCCUCCCCCACCGACUGCCCCACGCGACCCCAGAGUGCCAAGGGCCGGCUCCAUGUCUCUUCUCCCCGGCGCCUGCAAGUCCUGCGCCCCGUCCCCGCUCUCAUGAAGCCGUGACAGAGCCGGCCGUCUCCACCCCGCUGUAGCCGCACAGACUGACAAUCUCGGCACAAAGAGGAGACAGCCAAGGCACCACCCUUCUAGAACUCAGGCCCAGGAACCCCCCUUCUGAGACUUGGAUCCCUGAUCCUGACUUCUGAUCCAUGUACCUUCCCCAGGCCCAGGAGGCCCAUGCUUGCUGCCCUUACGAGGGAAAGUCAAAGGGAAGGGCCACGAGGGAGAAGCAGGGAGACAGUAGAAGAGCAUGGGAGGAGGGAAACCCUUGAAAGGGAACGAGGAGUUCUAAAAUGGGUCAGAGGUCAUAGGUAGGGAUCUCGGAGCCUCACCUGUUUGAGGCCCAUGAGCUCAGCAUAGUCAAAGACGAGAAGGAUGCUAAAGAUGAGGAGCCAGGAGAUGACAUGGAGCACAAAGCAGAGGAGCGGCACCCAGGUGGCCCAUGGCUCAGCCCGA